UUAAAAAGCUCGUAGUUGAAUUUCGGGAUCAAUGUUUCGGUCAUGCCGUUGGUAUGUACUGAUAUUAUUGAUUUCUCACCUUCUAAAGAACCGUAAUGCCAUUAAUUUGGUGUCACGGGGAAUUAGGACUGUUACCUUGAAAAAAUUAGAGUGUUUAAAGCAGGCUCACGCUUGAAUACAUUAGCAUGGAAUAAUGAAAUAGGACAUCCGAUUCUAUUUUGUUGGUUUCUAGGAUCGAUGUAAUGAUUAAUAGGGAUAGUUGGGGG
rnacentral:rRNA from 1 species